AUUGAACGCUGGCGGCAGGCCUAACACAUGCAAGUCGAGCGGAUGACGGGAGCUUGCUCCUGGAUUCAGCGGCGGACGGGUGAAUAAUGCCUAGGAAUCUGCCUGGUAGUGGGGGACAACGUUUCGAAAGGAACGCUAAUACCGCAUACGUCCUAAGGGAGAAAGCAGGGGACCUUCGGGCCUUGCGCUAUCAGAUGAGCCUAGGUCGGAUUAGCUAGUUGGUGAGGUAAUGGCUCACCAAGGCGACGAUCCGUAACUGGUCUGAGAGGAUGAUCAGGCACACUGGAACUGAGACACGGUCCAGACUCCUACGGGAGGCAGCAGUGGGGAAUAUUGGACAAUGGGCGAAAGCCUGAUCCAGCCAUGCCGCGUGUGUGAAGAAGGUCUUCGGAUUGUAAAGCACUUUAAGUUGGGAGGAAGGGUUGUAGAUUAAUACUCUGCAAUUUUGACGUUACCGACAGAAUAAGCACCGGCUAACUCUGUGCCAGCAGCCGCAGUAAGAC
rnacentral:rRNA from 1 species